rnacentral:lncRNA from 1 species
AGCAACAAGGCUGUUUAUUCACUUGGGUGCAAGUGGGCUGAGUCAGAGAAAGGAGUCAGCGAAGGGUGGUGGGAGUGGAACUGGUUCUAUAGGUUUGGGGUAGGUAGUGGAAAGUUACAGUUAGGGGCAGUUUUUUUGGGCAGGGGAAGAAUGUUACAAGGUGCAUAGUCACAAGGUGGGGGAAGUCAUAAGGCACGAUAUCACAAGGUGGAUGGAUUAGUUGGGGAAGGGCAGGAACAUAUCACAAGGUGGAUGGAUUAAUUAGGGUAGGGAAGGAACAUAUCACAAGGUGGAUGGAUUAGUUAGGGUAGGGCAGGAACAUGUCACAGUGGUGGAUGGAUUAGUUGGGGAAGGGCAGGAACAUAUCACAAGGUGGAUGGAUUAGUUAGGGUAGGGAAGGAACAUAUCACAAGGUGGAUGGAUUAGUUAGGGUAGGGCAGGAACAUGUCACAGUGGUGGAUGGAUUAGUUAGGGUAGGGCAGGAACAUGUCACAAGGUGGAUGGAUUAGUUAGGGUAGGGCAGGAACAUGUCACAAGGUGGAUGGAUUAGUUGGGGAAGGGCAGGAACAAUCACAAGGUGGAUGGAUUAGUUGGGGAAGGGCAGGAACAUAUCACAAGGUGGAUGGAUUAGUUGGGGAAGGGCAGGAACAUGUCACAAUGGUGGAUGGAUUAGUUGGGGAAGGGCAGGAACAUGUCACAAUGGUGGAUGGAUUAGUUGGGGAAGGGCAGGAACAUAUCACAAGGUGGAUGGAUUAGUUAGGGUAGGGCAGGAACAUGUCACAGUGGUGGAUGGAUUAGUUGAGGAAGGGCAGGAACAUGCCACAAGGUGGAUGGAUUAGUUGGGGAAGGGCAGGAACAUAUCACAAGGUGGAUGGAUUAGUUAGGGUAGGGCAGGAACAUGUCACAGUGGUGGAUGGAUUAGUUGAGGAAGGGCAGGAACAUGCCACAAGGUGGAUGGAUUAGUUGGGGAAGGGCAGGAACAUGUCACAAUGGUGGAUGGAUUAGUUGGGGAAGGGCAGGAACAUGUCACAAUGGUGGAUGGAUUAGUUGGGGAAGGGCAGGAACAUAUCACAAGGUGGAUGGAUUAGUUGGGGAAGGGCAGGAACAUAUCACAAGGUGGAUGGAUUAGUUGGGGAAGGGCAGGAACAUAUCACAAGGUGGACUGUUGCAAGGUCGGUUAAUCAUUAAGGCAGGAACUAGCUGUUCCGUCUUCUUUAGUGGUUCUCCUGUUGCUCCAGGCUUUGUGACUCCAGGAGGCCUGUAACGUGUGGGUCACAGGGGUCACAAUGGCUCGACCAUGGGG